AUUGAACGCUGGCGGCAGGCCUAACACAUGCAAGUCGAACGGUAACAGAAAGCAGCUAGCUGCUUUGCUGACGAGUGGCGGACGGGUGAGUAAUGUCUGGGAAACUGCCUGAUGGAGGGGGAUAACUACUGGAAACGGUAGCUAAUACCGCAUAACGUCGCAAGACCAAAGAGGGGGACCUUCGGGCCUCUUGCCAUCGGAUGUGCCCAGAUGGGAUUAGCUAGUAGGUGGGGUAACGGCUCACCUAGGCGACGAUCCCUAGCUGGUCUGAGAGGAUGACCAGCCACACUGGAACUGAGACACGGUCCAGACUCCUACGGGAGGCAGCAGUGGGGAAUAUUGCACAAUGGGCGCAAGCCUGAUGCAGCCAUGCCGCGUGUAUGAAGAAGGCCUUCGGGUUGUAAAGUACUUUCAGCGGGGAGGAAGGGAGUAAAGUUAAUACCUUUGCUCAUUGACGUUACCCGCAGAAGAAGCACCGGCUAACUCCGUG
rnacentral:rRNA from 1 species